UCCGGAAGUGGAGCUGUGGGCUGGCGGAGGCGGGCUGGUGGGCGGCCGGGAGGACUGAGCCGGCCGAGCCCGGCGCCUGGCUCCCUUUCCAAGGUGGAGCACCAUGGAGGACGCCAGCAACUCCGCGGGCAGCGGAGGCUUCCGCCUGGGCGUAGACAGCCUGGACGAGCCGCCCAACAGCCGCAUCUUCCUAGUGAUCAGCAAGUACACGUCCGAAUCGGUGCUGAGGGAGCGCUUCUCGCCCUUUGGAGACAUCCAGGACAUCUGGGUGGUGCGCGACAAACACACCAAGGAGUCCAAGGGCGUCGCCUUCGUCAAGUUCGCCCGAAGCUCGCAGGCCUGCCGGGCUAUGGAGGAGAUGCACGGACAGUGCCUUGGUCCCAACGACACCAAGCCCAUCAAGGUUUUCAUUGCUCAGUCCCGAUCAUCAGGAAGCCACAGAGAUGUUGAAGAUGAAGAACUCACAAGAAUCUUCGUUAUGAUACCAAAGUCCUAUACGGAGGACGACCUACGGGAGAAAUUUAAGGUGUAUGGUGAUAUCGAGUAUUGCAGCAUUAUUAAGAAUAAAGUCACUGGAGAAAGUAAAGGUCUGGGCUACGUGCGAUAUUUAAAACCAUCACAAGCCGCCCAAGCAAUAGAAAACUGUGAUAGAAGUUUCAGAGCACUGUUGGCUGAACCUAAAAAUAAAGUAUCUGAGUCCCCAGAACAAGAUUAUUAUAGUAGCAUGAGGCAAGAGGCUUUGGGGCAUGAACCGAGAGUAAAUCUGUUUCCCUUCGUUGGAGAACAACAAUCUGAAUUUUCAAGUUUUGACAAGAAUGACAGCAGAAGUCAGGAAACUAUCUCUAAACGCCUGUCAGUUGUGUCAAGAGUCCCCUUCACGGAAGAACAGCUCUUCAGCAUUUUUGACAUAGUCCCAGGACUGGAGUAUUGUGAGGUUCAGCGAGAUCCUUAUUCGAAUUUUGGUCAUGGUGUGGUUCAGUAUUUUAACGUAGCAUCUGCUAUUUAUGCAAAAUAUAAAUUGCAUGGAUUCCAGUACCCCCCUGGGAAUCGGAUAGGUGUUUCCUUCCUGGAUGAUGGGAGUAAUUCGGCAGAUCUCAUCAGAAAAAUGGCCACACAGAUGGUGGCGUCACAGCUCGCAUCAAUGGUGUGGAGUAACCCAAGUCAGCAGCAGCAGUUUCUGCAAUUUGGAGGAAGUUCUGGGUCACAGCUGCCCCAAAUCCAGACAGAUGUUGUGCUUCCAUCCUGCAAAAAGAAAGCCCCUCCUGAAACGCCUGUGAAAGAAAGACUUUUUAUUGUGUUUAACCCUCAUCCUUUGCCGUUAGACGUGUUGGAGGAUAUAUUCUGUCGUUUUGGUAACCUGAUCGAAGUUUACCUCGUGUCAGGAAAAAAUGUGGGCUAUGUCAAGUAUGCAGAUAGAAUGAGCGCCAACGAUGCAAUCUCAACCCUGCAUGGGAAAAUUCUGAAUGGAGUCCGACUGAAAGUCAUGUUGGCAGACUCCCCACGAGAAGAACCUAAAAAGAGGCAGAGAACUUACUGAGUCUCGGGCUGGGGAGAUGGCCCAGCCGCUGUGGGCUUGCUGCUCCUCCAGAGGACACCCAUCAGGCUUCCCGUAACUGCCUGUUGUAUGUACCUAAAGCUCGAGAGCCAUCCAAUGUCUCUUCUGAACUCUCAACACAUUCUGUCAUGUCUACGCACCCACACCUAAAUCCACACACAUAAAUAAUAAAAUGUGCCUUUAAAAAGUAGUCUCCCGACUUCUUACUAAUUAAAAACAGUAUGAAAUAAUAUAGUUUUUUUGGAACUUUUAAACCUAAAUAUUGGUGUCUUUCUGAACUCAAACGUAGGAGUUUGUAUUUAAAAGUAUACAUUCAGAAAAUAUUUCCAUGUGCAUGUAUAUAUUUUUAAUGAACUAUUUGCUAAAUCCCCUUUUCCUAUGAAUACUGAUACAACUUACGAAUUCCUUGUUCUAUUGAUUAAUUUUUAAGACUCAAUCUUCUAUUUCUAUGGUGGGUUUUCUCUGUGACUUAAAGGGAGACAUCAUCUUUAGAUUGUUUUACUCUGAUGAAUUCUGAGUUUCAGGGACGAUCCGUUUCCUGUUUCCUACACUCAUCAUGCUCCCAGCCCUGCUCCAUGUCGGGUGUAUCCAGCUCUGACCGUUGCUGGGAGCUAGUAACUGUCAGAAUUAAUCCUGUGGGCCUGGCCACUGAAGACCCUUUUGUAAAGCAAAGCAAGUCAUUCGUUCUUCCUUUUUCUGAGUCACGUGACAGUGAACAUGCCUUUUGGUCCCAUAGAAACAACCCUACUUUAAAAAUCUUUUCAAUGUCUUAUUUGAUGACAAAAUCCACACUUAUUACACUUAUCCAACUUAUUAGCUCUAAAGAUAUUAAGUUACCAGUGAAAGAGAAUUAGCAAGGAAAUUUUCUUGUUUACUAAUGUUAUUAAUUUAAUUCUGUUUAAGUGAACAAUCCUUUAAAAUAUUCUGCAAAAAUUACAUUUACCCCUGUGUCUAAAUAUUUUAGCAUAUAGGUGACAAUUACUGCUUUUGUUCAGGGAAUCUUUGCCCUUAAAAGGGCGAUAAUAUUAACUUCUUAGUACAGAAUAAUGUGCAAAGUACUCUCAUGGUUGAGCCUUUUCUAAUGAUAAUUUACAUUUUAGAGAGAAUUAGUAGCUUAUAAUCUGAGCACUCAGGAGACUGGCAGAAAUAUUGACUGAAGUUAAUGUGAAUACAUAGGGAAAGCUUGGGAGAGAGUAUGAAUGAGCAUGAAGCAGAAGAUUUGGACUAGACCCACCUAUAAUACUUAUAUCUGUGUAGAUCUUUUUGGAGGCCUGGUUUUUUGGCUAGGUUUCUUGUAAGGCACAGAAACAGCAGAAUCCCUGAUAAAUGAAAGAAAAGCUUUGUAAAUAUGAACUAAAUCUCAUAUUUAUGGCUUUAGUGGAGCCUUUCAGAUGUCAUCUCACCCAAUGAUCAGAAAGUAAAAGCUUGAUGGUGCACAACUACCUCCUAGUCAGCUGGUACUGUGAGAACCUCGCUUUAAAAAUGGCAGCUUCACCUUCAUAGUGGUUGCAUUCAUCUGGCUUCCUAACUAAAGGAACUGUACGUACUCGCUAGCAUGGUUAGCAAUCAAAAUGAAUCUGUCCCUGUCCCAUUAUGGAACUUUGACACAUAGUCAGGGCAAAGGUCAAAAGGAGUCAUAUAACUUGCAAAUGGUGUCUUGGUUACAAUAGAAAUAACUAUAAUUUGGAUACCUUCUAAUUGUACCAUGAAAUUUAUUUUUGCAGUACAUUCUUGUUUAUCUUAGAUAUCACAGUGAGAUUUUCUGCCUUUUGGGGUGUGUUAAGUAAUUAUAUUGGCCAAGUUUGCUGGCCUGAACCUGUAGUUGCAGUUCUUAGGAGGCAGGAGGCUCAUAUAAAUUUAGAGCUUAAAGCGAGCCUGGAAGACAUAGUGACACCCUGUCUCAGUAAGUGAAUAAUCUUUUCUUAAGGUUCAACAAAGUACUAUGAUAGACCUCUCAUGUUUUACAUGAUUGUUACAGAACUAAUUUCUUUGGUGUGGUUGGUACAGUGACAUUUGAAUGCUGGUUGCUUUUGUUUCUGGAACUAAAUGACUGACACCUAAGAAAUAAACUGGUUAAGAGUCAAUGGUGAAAGUAGUUGGGCUCUAUUUUGAGAUGAGUCUUGUGUUUAUAAUAUAUUUCUCUUUCUAUUUGAGGAAAAUAGAAAUUUUAAUAUUUCACAGCAUCUGGUUUUAAGUUAAUUCACAGAACUUUCCCUCUAGAAAUCCAGUACCUGCUGGCAUCGACUCUAAAACAAAGACUAACUAAUGACAUAAUCCUCAGCUGACUGACUGAAAAAUGUGACUGGACGAACUCCCUGUGGACAGUUGACAGCUUUUUUUUCUCUUUUCACAUAUCUGAUAGUCCACACACCAUUGCUUGCCUGGGAUUGCUGACUUGUAUUUUUGUCUGACCUUAAUGAUAAAACUAAAAUAGUAGUUGUUUCCUAGAAGAAAAUGUUGUGAAUAGCAAAAAUAAAGCUUCCUUAGAGAAAUGUAUUGUCUUGUAUAGCAGAAAUAAAGUUUGCUUUUUUCAUAACUAAA